ACUAGAAUGAAAAACUAUAAAGAUAAAUAUAAGUAAUUAUAAUAACAGAAGUGUUGCCUCUAAAAAAGAAAGUGGAUUAGAAUGAAAAAUGCGGGCGCAGAGUGAAGAAAUAUUCUGAGAUAUUGAACCUGGAAAAGCACAGGACAAGAUAUCGAUUGCAGAAGUUCAAGCCGGGCAUCAACCAUAUCAACCUAGUCAGCCUAACAGAUCUUGCUACGGUUCCGAACAUUGUCUUUCUCUCUAUGACUAAAAUAAGAUUUUAAAAAAUAAUUUAUUCUUUAUAUAUUUGAAUAUUUGCUCCAAUGUGCUAAAUAAUUUACGUUUCUUUUGCGAUUUUGAUACAUAAAACAUUCUUCUUGAUUG